AUUGAACGCUGGCGGCAUGCCUUACACAUGCAAGUCGAACGGUAACAGGUCUUCGGAUGCUGACGAGUGGCGAACGGGUGAGUAAUACAUCGGAACGUGCCCGAUCGUGGGGGAUAACGAAGCGAAAGCUUUGCUAAUACCGCAUAAGAUCUACGGAUGAAAGCAGGGGACCGCAAGGCCUUGCGCGAACGGAGCGGCCGAUGGCAGAUUAGGUAGUUGGUGGGAUAAAAGCUUACCAAGCCGACGAUCUGUAGCUGGGCUGAGAGGACGACCAGCCACACUUGGACUGAGACACGGCCCAGACUCCUACGGGAGGCAGCAGUGGGGAAUUUUGGACAAUGGGCGCAAGCCUGAUCCAGCCAUGCCGCGUGCAGGAUGAAGGCCUUCGGGUUGUAAACUGCUUUUGUACGGAACGAAAAGACUCUGGUUAAUACCUGGGGUCCAUGACGGUACCGUAAGAAUAAGCACCGGCUAACUACGUGCCAGCCGCCGCCGUAACAC
rnacentral:rRNA from 1 species